rnacentral:rRNA from 1 species
GACGAACGCUGGCGGCGUGCUUAACACAUGCAAGUCGAACGAGUGGCGAACGGGUGAGUAAUACGUGAGUAACCUGCCCUCUUUUUGGGAUAAGCCUUGGCAACGGGGUCUAAUACCGGAUAACGGGGUAUGGGCUCGCGGCCUAUCAGCUUGUUGGUGGGGUGAUGGCCUACCAAGGCGGUGACGGGUAGCCGGCCUGAGAGGGUGACCGGCCACAGAGGGACUGCGCAACGGCCUAGGCUCGGACGGGGGGCAGCAGCUGGGGAUAUGGAACAAAGGGCGAAAGCGGGAUGCAGCGAGUCUGAGUGGGGGUUUAAGGCUUUAGGGUUGUAAACCUCUGUCGCUAUCGAACGGGUAGGUGGAGAAGAAGCGCCGGCUAACUACGUGCCAGCAGCCGCGGUAAUUC